rnacentral:snRNA from 10 species
AUUUUUGCACUUGGGCCAAUGAUGCAGUUAGUGAAGUACUAACUAAUGCGUGUCAAUUGCUGGUUGAAAACUAUUUCCAAACCCCCUCUUAGGCAUGUGUUUGACCUAAGUGCAAGCGAAACAGUAAGUUUACUUAGAUGACUAAUGAU